rnacentral:misc_RNA from 1 species
GAAAUGCGAUAAGUAAUGUGAAUUGCAGAAUUCAGUGAAUCAUCGAAUCUUUGAACGCACAUUGCGCCCGCCAGUAUUCUGGCGGGCAUGCCUGUUCGAGCGUCAUUUCAACCAUCAAGCCCCCGGCUUGUGUUGGGGACCUGCGGCUGCCCGCAGGCCCUGAAAAACAGUGGCGGGCUCGCUGUCACACCGAGCGUAGUAGCAUACAUUCUCGCUCAGGGCGUGCUGCGGGUUCCGGCCGUCAAACGACCUUCAUAACCCAAGGUUGACCUCGGAUCAGGUAGGAAGACCCGCUGAACUUAAGC